rnacentral:rRNA from 1 species
UACGGAGGAUCCGAGCGUUAUCCGGAUUUAUUGGGUUUAAAGGGUGCGCAGGCGGGCUGUUAAGUCGGCGGUGAAAUUUUGCAGCUCAACUGUAAAAGUGCCUUCGAUACUGGCUUUCUUGAGUGUGGAUGAAGUAGGCGGAAUUUGUGGUGUAGCGGUGAAAUGCUUAGAUAUCACGAGGAACUCCGAUUGCGCAGGCAGCUUACUAAACUACUACUGACGCUCAGGCACGAAGGCGUGGGGAUCAAACAGGAUUAGAUACCCUGGUAGUCCACGCAGUAAACGAUGAUUACUAGCUGUUUGCGAUAUACAGUAAGCGGCUUAGCGAAAGCGUUAAGUAAUCCACCUGGGGAGUACGUUCGCAAGAAUGAA